rnacentral:rRNA from 1 species
CCUACGGGGUGCAGCAGUGGGGAAUAUUGCACAAUGGGGGAAACCCUGAUGCAGCGACGCCGCGUGAGUGAAGAAGUAUUUCGGUAUGUAAAGCUCUAUCAGCAGGGAAGAAAAUGACGGUACUUGACUAAGAAGCCCCGGCUAACUACGUGCCAGCAGCCGCGGUAAUACGUAGGGGGCAAGCGUUAUCCGGAUUUACUGGGUGGAAAGGGAGCGUAGACGGCCAGACAAGUCAGAAGUGAAAGCCCAGGGCGCAACCCUGGGACUGCUUUUGAAACUGCCGGGCUGGAGUGCAGGAGAGGUAAGCGGAAGUCCUAGUGUAGCGGUGAAAUGCGUAGAUAUUAGGAGGAACACCAGUGGCGAAGGCGGCUUACUGGACUGUAACUGACGUUGAGGCUCGAAAGCGUGGGGAGCAAACAGGAUUAGAUACCCCUGUAGUU